rnacentral:tRNA from 1 species
GCGGUAGUAGUAUAGUGGUUAGUACAGGACGUUGCCAACGUUCAAACCUGAGUUCAAUUCUCAGCUACCGCA